rnacentral:misc_RNA from 1 species
GAAAUGCGAUAAGUAAUGUGAAUUGCAGAAUUCCGUGAAUCAUCGAAUCUUUGAACGCACAUUGCGCCCUCUGGUAUUCCGGGGGGCAUGCCUGUCCGAGCGUCAUUGCGAACCCCUCAAGCACGGCUUGUGUGAUGGGCCCUCCCGCGUCUUGGUCGUCAAGACGGUCCCGAAAUGCAGUGGCGGCUUCGCGGUUAUCCGAUCAGCCAGAGCGUAUGGGGACUUUCUCUCUGUCACACGCCCGCGGCGCGGACCGACGCCUGUCGACCUUCAUUCAUCGUUUUCUCGGUUGACCUCGGAUCAGGUAGGGAUACCCGCUGAACUUAAGC